rnacentral:rRNA from 1 species
GACGAACGCUGGCGGCGUGCUUAAUACAUGCAAGUCGAGCGGGAAUAUUGAGGAAGCUUGCGAAUCAAUAUUUCAGCGGCGGACGGGUGAGUAACGCGUGGGCAACCUGCCCUCUAGUCCGGGAUAACAACGCGAAAGUGGUGCUAAAACCGGAUAUGCUCAAGUUCUCGCAUGAGAACGAGAGGAAAGGAAACGCUAGAAGAAGGGCCCGCGGCCCAUUAGCUUGUUGGCGGGGUAACGGCCCACCAAGGCGACGAUGGGUAGCCGAGCUGAGAGGCUGAUCGGCCACACUGGGACUGAGACACGGCCCAGACUCCUACGGGAGGCAGCAGUGGGGAAUCUUGCGCAAUGGGCGAAAGCCUGACGCAGCAACGCCGCGUGCGGGAUGAAGGCUCUCGGGUCGUAAACCGCUUUCAGUAGGGACGAAACUGACUGUACCUACAGAAGAAGCCCCGGCUAAAUACGUGCCAGCCGCCGCCGUAACAC